rnacentral:rRNA from 1 species
AGAGUUUGAUUAUGGCUCAGAUUGAACGCUGGCGGCGUGCUUAACACAUGCAAGUCGCGCGUGAAAGGACUUCGGUCCGAGUAAAGCGGCGCACGGGUGAGUAACGCGUGGAUGAUCUACCCAUGAGUUAGGAAUAACGGCUGGAAACGGUCGCUAAUACCAAAUACGCUCCGAUUUCAACUUCGGGGGAAAGGUGGCCUCUGCUUGCAAGCUACUGCUCAUGGAUGAGUCCGCGUCCCAUUAGCUAGUUGGUGGGGUAACGGCCCACCAAGGCGACGAUGGGUAGCCGGUCUGAGAGGAUGACCGGCCACACUGGGACUGGAACACGGCCCAGACUCCUACGGGAGGCAGCAGUGGGGAAUAUUGCGCAAUGGGCGAAAGCCUGACGCAGCGACGCCGCGUGAAGGGAUGAAGGUCCUCGGAUCGUAAACCUCUGUCAGGAGGGAAGAACCGCCACGGUGCUAAUCAGCCGUGGUCUGACGGUACCCCCAAAGGAAGCACCGGCUAACUCCGUGCCAGCCGCCGC